UUUGUCUCGAGAUGUGUGUUUUAUGUUGAAUAUAAAUAUUAAAUAUACUAUUGUUCGCUUAAUUUAAACAGUUUAUAUAUAUAUAUAUAUAUAUAUAUAUAGUAGGGCUAUUAUACUUUUAUGAGUAUUGGGUCAUUCAUACUCAUAAGUUGUUUUCGAUGAUGGAGCUUCCGAAUCGACGAUCCAUUCCGUUAAAUAUGAUCUAGAGUAUUUCAAACUUCUAGAGAAUAAAUUUCGUAAUUUUUCGAAAUCAUAAUAAAGUGUCGAAAAAUUAUAAAAUUUGAUUUCUAGAAGUUUUAAAUGCUUUAAAAAAUGGUUAACGGUAUGGAUCGUUGAUUCAGAAGCUAUAUCAUCGAAAACAACUUAUGAAUACGAAGACGAUCGUAUUCAUAAAAGUAUAGUAGCCGGACUCUAUAUAUAUAUAGAGAGAGAGAGAGAAAGAGAGAGAUUUAGGCUGGUAUAUUAGUGGUAGCAUUGAGGCCUCCGUGUAACCAAGUUGUUUUUAAUGAUGUGGCUUCCAAAUCGAUGAUCGGCUCGUUAGACUUGAUUUAUACUAUUAAAAGUAUUUGGAAACUAAUUUUAUAAUUUUUCGGUAUCAUUUACCUAUCAAACGAGAGUCUAAAAAUAAACGGCUGAAAAUAAAAGUCUCGUAAAAAAUAAUGAUAAAAGACUUGAAUUUAAAAUCAGAGCUACUGAUCUUAUUCUAAAUAGUAAAAAAAAAAUUCAAUAGAAAUUUCAUCAGAUUUGGAUUGUUUUACACCGUUAAAUUUACAAACGCAUCACCACAUCUAUCAUUAAAAUUGUCAAUUUUGAGACUUUUUGAUCACUAGCGAAAUGAUGCCGAAAAAUUAUGAAAUUUAGUUUCCAAAUACUUUCAAUAGUGUAGAUCAACUCUAACGGAACCGAUCGUCGAUUUGGAAGCCGUAUCAUUGAAAACAACUCGGUAGCACGAAGGCCUCCGUACUACCGAUAAUAUCAGGACUGCAAAUUCUCCGAAUAAAUAAGCAUCAUUACAAUCAACGAACCUGAUGAAUAUAUCAUUCAAAUUUC
rnacentral:lncRNA from 1 species